AGAUUCGGUUAUGUUAUCAAGAACAAGGGCUAGUGCACUUAUUCAUUACUGGGUCACAGAGCACACAUUAAUGAUGAUAAAAAUGUAUAAUAAUAUACCAUAUAGGGGGACUGUUCCCCUAUACUCUCAUUAAUUACUGGAAGAAAGGCCCCUAUCUGUGAGAAUUCACCUGUAAAUGAUAUUAAAAGCCGGGGCAUUACCAGAUCCUUACUGGCAUCGGAGUCCCUUCAAGUUUCUUAAAAAGCUCAGAGCACAUCCGCUUCCACCACCGUAUCCACGAGGGACUCCAUCGGGUAGACCAGAAUGGUGGACAAAUUUUUCGAGUUAAUCCACUUCUUUGGCAUUAGCUGAUCCAUAUUGUAUUGUUUCAUAUUAUUUACAAUAAGCAAGCAAUCCAUGCCCUACAAAACCCCAGAUGUCAAAUUCGAUGUUGUGUGAGAAUACUGGAAAAAUAUGAGUAUAGUCCGGAACGUGCGGAGUAAAACACAAAAAAAAAAAUUUUUUAAAUUCUAAAUUUGCUUUCGGUUUGCGGUACAUCGAACACAGUGCGACUGAUAUCACCACAUGUUACACGGCUCGACAAUCGUCUGGGCAGUACACUACGUUUCCCGGGGAGUGACAUGGAUGCCACAAGAUAUGAAAAGACAUAGUUGCACAUUUUUGGUCGAUGAAUGAAGAAGCGCAUGAAGUCAUUGCAUUAGUUACUCUACAUUUAUUUUGAUACUAAAAAUGAUUAUAUUUUGAUACUAAAAAUGAUUAUAUUUUGAUACUAGAAUACACAAA